ensembl:snoRNA Gm22684 small nucleolar RNA SNORA71
CCCUGUAUUUGAAAGUGAUUGUGGGCUGCCGGUGCCCUGGGCAUUGAUGCUGCAGGGAGAGGAUGCUGAAAGCCUUUCCCCGUGUUUGGAGGAUCUACACUUGUCCUUGCCAAACGCUGGUGCUUUUUAAUA